UCCUGGAAGCCCGCUAAGCUUGAAUGU
rnacentral:piRNA from 1 species